CAGAAACUCAAACAGGAAGUACUGUGACAGAAAUGCUUGUACGAACUCGAACCCAGGCACAGAGAAACACAGCAAGCAGAGCCCAUGGGGCUCAUUUUGGAAGCAGAAGAGGAGAUGCUGCCAACAACCAAAACUCAGUGGGUGCCCUGUGUUGCAUUCUGAUGAAGCACUGCCUCUUCUUCAUCACUUCGGCUGUUUCAUUCCAAGAUGUUCCCCCCUCUACUUCUACCCUCGUUCCCUUCCUUUAGUGGAUCUGAGACAACUGGUUCUCCCGGUUCUUGACCCUUGCCUGUUUUCUGGACUCU